rnacentral:misc_RNA from 1 species
AAAAUCUGAUGUGUACUCAUUUGGAGUAGUUCUGUUUGAGUUGCUCUGUGCUAGGCCGCCAGUGAUUCCAGGACUACCAAAAGAGCAAGUCAAUUUAGCUGAUUGGGCUCGGAUUUGCUGUAGAAGAGGAGCCAUUGAUCAGAUAAUGGACCCCUAUUUGAGGGGUAAUAGUGACCCUGUCUGUUUGGAGAAAUUUGGAGAGAUUGCUGAGAGUUGCCUGCGUGACCAAGGAACACAAAGGCCAACAAUGAGCGAUGUGGUUUGUGGGCUUGAGUUUGCUUUGCAGCUUCAAGAGACUGCUGAGAACACUAGAAAUAGUAUUGAUAGAGUGAGUGAGGAGCAGGAAAGUCCAUUGUUGUUGCGUGGAGAAGCUAUAACUACUGAUGAUGAUGACUUGUUUAGCGUCUCAGGUGGACACAAGCAUGGAUCCAAGAGCACGAUUAGUAGUGGUGAAAGGAGUAUCUCCAAAACUGAUCCUGAUAGAAUGAGUUCUGACACUGUAUUCUCGGAAAUUAUGAACCAAAAGGGAAGAUGAAAUGUUGCUGUGGAUUUGUCCCCCUUUUAUUUUUAUUUUUAUUUUUAU